rnacentral:rRNA from 1 species
GGGAAUAUUGGACAAUGGGCGAAAGCCUGAUCCAGCGACGCCGCGUGGGUGAAGAAGGCCUUCGGGUUGUAAAGCCCUUUAAGCCGGGACGAAAAAGCUGCACCUAACACGUGCGGCCUUGACGGUACCGGAAGAAUAAGCACCGGCUAACUCUGUGCCAGCAGCCGCGGUAAUACGAAGGGUGCAAGCGUUACUCGGAAUUACUGGGCGUAAAGCGUGCGUAGGUGGUUCGUUAAGUCUGAUGUGAAAGCCCUGGGCUCAACCUGGGAAUGGCAUUGGAUACUGGCGGACUGGAGUGCGGUAGAGGAUGGCGGAAUUCCCGGUGUAGCAGUGAAAUGCGUAGAGAUCGGGAGGAACAUCCGUGGCGAAGGCGGCCAUCUGGACCAGCACUGACACUGAGGCACGAAAGCGUGGGGAGCAAA